CAGUCGCCGCGGUAAUACGUAGGUGGCAAGCGUUGUCCGGAAUUAUUGGGCGUAAAGGGCUCGCAGGCGGUUUCUUAAGUCUGAUGUGAAAGCCCCCGGCUCAACCGGGGAGGGUCAUUGGAAACUGGGAAACUUGAGUGCAGAAGAGGAGAGUGGAAUUCCACGUGUAGCGGUGAAAUGCGUAGAGAUGUGGAGGAACAUCAGUGGCGAAGGCGACUCUCUGGUCUGUAACUGACGCUGAGGAGCGAAAGCGUGGGGAGCGAACAGGAUUAGAGACCCCUGUAGUCCCUGUCUCUUAUAC
rnacentral:rRNA from 1 species